rnacentral:tRNA from 1 species
GGAGAGGUGCUCGAGUGGUUGAAGAGGCACGCCUGGAAAGCGUGUAUACGCCAAAAGUGUAUCCGGGGUUCGAAUCCCGUCUCUCCGC